rnacentral:rRNA from 1 species
GACGAACGCUGGCGGCGUGCUUAACACAUGCAAGUCGAACGGAAAGGCCCUGCUUUUGUGGGGUGCUCGAGUGGCGAACGGGUGAGUAACACGUGAGUAACCUGCCCUUGACUUUGGGAUAACUUCAGGAAACUGGGGCUAAUACCGGAUAGGAGCUCCUGCUGCAUGGUGGGGGUUGGAAAGUUUCGGCGGUUGGGGAUGGACUCGCGGCUUAUCAGCUUGUUGGUGGGGUAGUGGCUUACCAAGGCUUUGACGGGUAGCCGGCCUGGGAGGGUGACCGGCCACAUUGGGACUGAGAUACGGCCCAGACUCCUACGGGAGGCAGCAGUGGGGAAUAUUGCACAAUGGGCGGAAGCCUGAUGCAGCAACGCCGCGUGCGGGAUGACGGCCUUCGGGUUGUAAACCGCUUUCGCCUGUGACGAAGCGUGAGUGACGGUAAUGGGUAAAGAAGCACCGGCUACCUACGU